rnacentral:rRNA from 1 species
UACGUAGGCAGCGAGCGUUGUUCGGAAUUACUGGGCGUAAAGAGUGUGUAGGCGGUGCUCUAAGUUCGGUGUGAAAUCCCACGGCUCAACCGUGGAACUGCUUGGCAUACUGGCGAUCUUGAGCCACUUAGGGGCUACCGGAACAAAUGGUGGAGCGGUGAAAUGCGUAGAUAUCAUUUGGAACGCCAAUGGUGAAAACAGGUAGCUGGGAGUGUGCUGACGCUGAGACACGAAAGCCAGGGGAGCAAACGGG